rnacentral:rRNA from 1 species
AGAAUCAACGCUGGCGGCGUGCCUAACACAUGCAAGUCGAACGAGAAAGUGGAGCAAUCCAUGAGUAAAGUGGCGCACGGGUGAGUAACACGUGACUAACCUACCCUUGAGUGGGGGAUAACCUAGAGAAAUCUGGGCUAAUACCGCAUAAUACCUUCGGGUCAAAGGAGCAAUUCGCUUAAGGAGGGGGUCGCGGCCGAUUAGUUAGUUGGCGGGGUAAUGGCCCACCAAGACUGUGAUCGGUAUCCGGCCUGAGAGGGCGCACGGACACACUGGAACUGAAACACGGUCCAGACUCCUACGGGAGGCAGCAGCGGGGAAUUUGCGCAAUGGGGGAAACCCUGACGCAGCAACGCCGCGUGGAGGAUGAAGCCCCUUGGGGCGUAAACUCCUUUCGAUCGGGAAGAUAAUGACGGUACCGAGAGAAGAAGCCCCGGCUAACUUCGCGCCAGCAGCCGC